rnacentral:tRNA from 1 species
GGUCCCUUAGCUCAAUUGGUUAGAGCAUCUGACUCAUAAUCAGGCGGUUAUCAGUUCAAGUCUGGUAGGGACCA